rnacentral:rRNA from 1 species
CCUACGGGAGGCAGCAGUCGAGAAUCAUUCACAAUGGGGGAAACCCUGAUGGUGCGACGCCGCGUGGGGGAAUGAAGGUCUUCGGAUUGUAAACCCCUGUCAUGUGGGAGCAAAUUAAAAAGAUAGUACCACAAGAGGAAGAGACGGCUAACUCUGUGCCAGCAGCCGCGGUAAUACAGAGGUCUCAAGCGUUGUUCGGAAUCACUGGGCAUAAAGCGGGCGUAGGCUGUUUCGUAAGUCGUGUGUGAAAGGCGCGGGCUCAACCCGCGGACGGCACAUGAUCCUGCGAGACUAGAGUAAUGGAGGGGGAACGAGAAUGCUGGGUGUAGGAGUGAAAUGCGUAGAUAUCGAGAGGAACACUCGUGGCGAAGGCGGGUUCCUGGACAUUAACUGACGCUGGGGCACGAAGGCCAGGGGAGCGAAGGGGAUUAGAUACCCGGGUAG